rnacentral:rRNA from 1 species
CGGAACGGGUGGAGUAACGCGUGAAUAACCUGACUCAAAGAGGGGGAGUAACAACGGGAAACGUGUUGCUAAUACCGCAUGAGACCACAACACCGCAUGAUGAAGGGGUCAAAGAUUUAUCGCUUUGAGAGGGGUUCGCGUCCCAUUAGGUAGUUGGAGGGGUAACGGCCCACCAAGCCAACGAUGGGUAGCCGAGCUGAGAGGCUGAUCGGCCACACUGGAACUGAGACACGGUCCAG